GUUCAUCUUUCUCCAGAAUAACAAGAAACUAUUGAUGAGGAAUGUGUGCCCCUUCAGACAUUGUUGAACUGCACAUCCCAUCAUCCUCAGCUACCAGACUCAGUUUCAUGUUUACUACUGUGGAACCUUUUGUUGAAAGAUAGAUACUCUGAUGCCUCCCCCACAUGUCCAUCUGUUCAAGAUACCUUAAUUUUAAAAAAAGGCUACAUUUCUUCAUUCUUACAGUAAAUGCUGAUGCAGCACACCUGUGUGGCGACUUAUCCAGGAGCCACUUAAAAGAAAUAGGCUUGUCUUUAAAAGAUCUGUGAAAAUGCAUGAAUGCUAUAAAUGAAGCCUAGAACUUCACUUCUUUAGCCUGUUCCUAAGCAGUUUACUUCAAGGCAUAUGAUAGGCUGCGCUUGCAUGUGAUUGCUUGGAAGGACUGUCUCAGGGCAAUAUGAACUACAUUCCUUCAGCAUGGUUACAUCUAUUGUAAGGACUAGA